GGUUAAGCGACUAAGCGUACACGGUGGAUGCCCUGGCAGUCAGAGGCGAUGAAGGGCGUGCUAAUCUGCGAUAAGCGCCGGUAAGGUGAUAUGAACCGUUAUAACCGGCGAUACCCGAAUGGGGAAACCCAGUGUGACUCGUCACACUAUCAUUAACUGAAUCCAUAGGUUAAUGAGGCGAACCGGGGGAACUGAAACAUCUAAGUACCCCGAGGAAAAGAAAUCAACCGAGAUUCCCCCAGUAGCGGCGAGCGAACGGGGAGGAGCCCAGAGCCUGAAUCAGCAUGUGUGUUAGUGGAAGCGUCUGGAAAGGCGCGCGAUACAGGGUGACAGCCCCGUACACAAAAGCGCAUGUGCUGUGAGCUCGAUGAGUAGGGCGGGACACGUGGUAUCCUGUCUGAAUAUGGGGGGACCAUCCUCCAAGGCUAAAUACUCCUGACUGACCGAUAGUGAACCAGUACCGUGAGGGAAAGGCGAAAAGAACCCCGGCGAGGGGAGUGAAAAAGAACCUGAAACCGUGUACGUACAAGCAGUGGGAGCCCCACCACCAAAGCAUUUGCUGUACCGCGUUGACGGAGCGAAGCGACGUCAAACCGAUAAAACAGCAGUGUAAAGUGAGCCGCAGGGCGCUUUGCGCGACAGCGCAAAGGCAGGCGGUUUCGCGUAGCGAAAGCGAAUGCUUUGGGGUGGGGUGACUGCGUACCUUUUGUAUAAUGGGUCAGCGACUUAUAUUCUGUAGCAAGGUUAACCGAAUAGGGGAGCCGGAGGGAAACCGAGUCUUAAUUGGGCGUUAAGUUGCAGGGUAUAGACCCGAAACCCGGUGAUCU
rnacentral:rRNA from 1 species